rnacentral:lncRNA from 1 species
AUGAGAAAAGAUACAAGAAUAAGUCAUAAUUAUGUAGCCAGACUUGAAAACUCAUGGCGGGCCAGAAGCUACGAAGACAUCGAAGAGAUGGGAAGCAGAUAGGAAGUGGCAUCAAUCAGCUGAGUUUUCACACAAUAUCAGAUUUGUAAACAGACUUAACUCAUUGAGAAGUUAAGUCACUCAUCUGUCCUGCAAUCUCGGCCAACUUGGUGUUUGAAAGGUGAGAUAAUUUUCUGCUUUGAAAAGGUCUGCAAUAUUUCCUUUUUAUUACAAAGUA